rnacentral:lncRNA from 1 species
GGUCCGAGUACACAGUUAUCGUCCUUUGAUUUUCGUUGUCCACAAGUAUAGUCCCUAGUGUGGACAGUGUGUUACUUGCCAUUUUUUUUGGACCAAUUCCAAUAUUAUUUUUUCAUGUUUUAUGCCUCAUAUAACAAGUAGGGGGAUGAAAUUACACUGUAGAAAAAUGUGGGUCAAGAAUUUGAAAGUCAAGUAGUGAUUUGGUCCAGCUAAAAAGGUUAAAAAUUAGCAUUUCGGAAGCUGUCAAAAGAUUUCAAGACCCCCUUAACAUAAAAUUGUCCAUAUUUUGAGUUAGAGCUGAUGAAGUUUCUAUUAUU